rnacentral:rRNA from 1 species
GGGGGGGGGGGGGGGGGGGGGGAGGGGGGGGAGGGGGGGGGGGGGCGCGGGAGGGGGGGGCGGUGGCGGGGGGGGGGGGGCGGGGGGGGGGGGCAUAGAGCGGGAUCUACUUUUGCGGGGGGGAUAGCGUGGGGAGGCUUACGCUCAUAACGCAUACGACCUACGGGUGACGGCCGGGGCUGUUCGAGCCGUGCGGGAUUGCAUGCGCCGAUGUCGGAUUAGCUGGUUGGCGGGGUAAGGGCCCACCAAGGCGCCGAUCCGUAGCUGGUCUGAUAGGAUGAUCAGCCACCAUGGAACUGAGACACGGUCCAGACUCCUACGGGAGGCAGCAGUGGGGAAUAUUGGACAAUGGGCGCAAGCCUGAUCCAGCCAUACCGCGUGGGUGAAGAAGGCCUUCGGGUUGUAAAGCCCUUUUGUUGGGAAAGAAAAGCAGCAGGUUAAUACCCCGCUGUUCUGACGGUACCCAAAGAAUACGCACCGGCUAACUUCGUG